AGAUUGAACGCUGGCGGCAUGCCUUACACAUGCAAGUCGAACGGCAGCACGGGAGCAAUCCUGGUGGCGAGUGGCGAACGGGUGAGUAAUACAUCGGAACGUGCCCAAUCGUGGGGGAUAACGCAGCGAAAGCUGUGCUAAUACCGCAUAAGAUCUACGGAUGAAAGCAGGGGAUCGCAAGACCUUGCGCGAAUGGAGCGGCCGAUGGCAGAUUAGGUAGUUGGUGAGGUAAAGGCUCACCAAGCCUUCGAUCUGUAGCUGGUCUGAGACGGACGACCAGCCGACACGUGGGACUGGAGACCACGGCCCAAGACGUCCUACGGGAGGCAGCGAGGUAGGGGUAAUUUUGGGAACUAAGUGGGGACGAAAACGGUCCGUUACGGAUUCC
rnacentral:rRNA from 1 species